CAUUCGUUUCUUUAUUAUUACCUGAUAUUUCUUUUUUGGCUGCUAUCUUAAGUAAAGUCCAAAAACAUGUGAACCAUCUUGUAAGCUCUCGUGAAGCAGCAAGUUAAUUCAUAAAAUCAGAGCACCUUGAGACUUGUGAGAGAGCAUCUACAUCUAAGAAUAACAUAUGAUAUAAACCUAUAUACCAAGAUGAAGCACACCAUUGCCACCACAUUUCUCCCCCUACUUUCCUCUCCAUAUCCUUCUUCUCUCAGCACAUCUUCUCCUGUAACCAUGCAUGUCCCAAACAUGUACUCCAAGCAUUUCCCUGAUUUUGAGAACUCGUUUAUUAAGAACCCUUCAAAUGGGUACUUGAAAAGUGAUAUAUAAUGCAUGAACAUCCAGUAAUUUGGAAUCCCAUGGUUGGAUAUGAAGUACCCAGAGAACAAAAAGAAAGAUCCCAUCAC
rnacentral:misc_RNA from 1 species